rnacentral:lncRNA from 1 species
AUGUCAUGUUUAUGUCUGAACUUCCAGAUGUUCAAGCUGGUUUUAGAAAAGGCAGAGGAACCAGAGAUCAAAUUGCCAACAUCUGCUGGAUCAUGGAAAAAGCAAGAGAGUUCCAGAAAAACAUCUAUUUCUGCUUUAUUGACUAUGCCAAAGCCUUUGACUAUGUGGAUCACAAUAAACUGGAAAAUUCUGAAAGAGAUGAGAAUACCAGAACAGCGAAUACCAGAUGAGAAUACCUGUCUCUUGAGAAACCUGUAUGCAGAUCAGGAAGCAACAGUUAGAACUGGACAUGAAACAACAGACUGGUUCCACAUAGGAAAAGGAGUACGUCAAGGCUGUAUACUGUCACCCUGCUUAUUUAACUUCUAUGCAGAGUACAUCAUGAGAAACGCUGGGCUGGAAGAAGCACAGGCUGGAAUCAAGAUUGCCGGGAGAAAUAUCAAUAACCUCAGAUAUGCAGAUGAUACCACCCUUAUGGCAGAAAGUGAAGAAGAACUAAAGAGCCUCUUGAUGAAAGUGAAAGAGGAGAGUGAAAAAGUUGGCUUAAAGCUCAACAUUCAGAAAACGAAGAUCAUGGCAUCUGGUCCCAUCAUUUCAUGGGAAAUAGAUGGAGAAACAGUGGAAACAGUGUCAGACUUUAUUUUUUGGGGCUCCAAAAUCACUGCAGAUAGUGACUGCAGCCAUGAAAUAAAGAGACGCUUACUCCUUGGAAGAAAAGUUAUGACCAACUUAGAUUGCAUAUUCAAAAGCAGAGACAUUACUUUGCCAACUAAGGUCCGUCUAGUCAAGGCUAUGGUCUUUCCAGUAGUCAUGUGUGGAUGUGAGAGUUGGACUAUAAGGAAAGCUGAGCGCCGAAGAAUUGAUGCUUUUGAACUGUGUUGUUGGAGAAGACUCUUGAGAGUCCCUUGGACUGCAAGGAGAUCCAACCAGUCCAUCCUAAAGGAGAUCAGUCCUGGGUGUUCAUUGGAGGGACUGAUGUUGAAGCUGAAACUCAAAUACUUUGGCCACCUGAUGCAGAGAGCUGACUCAUUUGAAAAAACCCGGAUGCUGGAAAAGAUUGAGGGCAGGAGGAGAACGGGAUGA